rnacentral:rRNA from 1 species
CGUACAUGGUGGAUGCCUUGGCAGUCAGAGGCGAUGAAGGACGUACUAACCUGCGAUAAGCCGUGAGCAGUCGGUAAGAGACAUUACGACUCACGGAUUUCCGAAUGGGGAAACCCACUUAGCAUAAGCUAGGUAUCGCUGCGUGAAUACAUAGCGUAGCGAGGCGAACCGGGAGAACUGAAACAUCUAAGUACCCCGAGGAAAAGAAAUCAACCGAGAUUCCCUCAGUAGCGGCGAGCGAACGGGG